rnacentral:ribozyme from 1 species
AAAAAAAAAAAAAAAAAAAAAACAACGUCACCCCGUUUUUUUUUUUUUUUUUUACCA